UAAAAAAAGGUAAGCUACUAAGAGCGAAUGGUGGAUGCCUUGACUGGUAAAGGCGAUGAAGGACGUACUAGACUGCGAUAAGCUACGGGGAGCUGUCAAGAAGCUUUGAUCCGUAGAUUUCCGAAUGGGGCAACCCAAUGUAUAGAGAUAUACAUUACCUAUAUAGGAGCGAACGAGGGGAAUUGAAACAUCUUAGUACCCUCAGGAAAAGAAAUCAAUAGAGAUUGCGUCAGUAGCGGCGAGCGAAAGCGCAAGAGGGCAAACCCAGUGCUUGCACUGGGGGUUGUAGGACUGCAAUGUGCAAGAGCUGAGUUUAGCAGAACAUUCUGGAAAGUAUAGCCAUAGAGGGUGAUAGUCCCGUAUGCGAAAAACAAAGCUUAGCUAGCAGUAUCCUGAGUAGGGCGGGACACGAGGAAUCCUGUCUGAAUCCGGGUCGACCACGAUCCAACCCUAAAUACUAAUACCAGAUCGAUAGUGCACAAGUACCGUGAGGGAAAGGUGAAAAGAACUGAGGUGAUCAGAGUGAAAUAGAACCUGAAACCAUUUGCUUACAAUCAUUCAGAGCACUAUGUAGCAAUACAGUGUGAUGGACUGCCUUUUGCAUAAUGAGCCUGCGAGUUGUGGUGUCUGGCAAGGUUAAGCAAACGCGAAGCCGUAGCGAAAGCGAGUCUGAAUAGGGCGCUUAGUCAGAUGCUGCAGACCCGAAACGAAGUGAUCUAUCCAUGAGCAAGUUGAAGCUAGUGUAAGAACUAGUGGAGGACUGAACCCAUAGGCGUUGAAAAGCCCCGGGAUGACUUGUGGAUAGGGGUGAAAGGCCAAUCAAACUUCGUGAUAGCUGGUUCUCUCCGAAAUAUAUUUAGGUAUAGCGUUGUGUCGUAAUAUAAGGGGGUAGAGCACUGAAUGGGCUAGGGCAUACACCAAUGUACCAAACCCUAUCAAACUCCGAAUACCUUAUAUGUAAUCACAGCAGUCAGGCGGCGAGUGAUAAAAUCCGUCGUCAAGAGGGAAACAACCCAGACUACCAGCUAAGGUCCCUAAAUCUUACUUAAGUGGAAAACGAUGUGAAGUUACUUAAACAACCAGGAGGUUGGCUUAGAAGCAGCCAUCCUUUAAAGAAAGCGUAAUAGCUCACUGGUCUAGUGAUUUUGCGCGGAAAAUAUAACGGGGCUAAAGUAAGUACCGAAGCUGUAGACUUGCACACAACUUAGAUUAUUUAAGUUUAGAAUAUGAGAAACUAAGUUAUAUGUUUAGUUAUAUUUUUACUGAUUUUUAUAGAGUAAAGAUAGAAAUAAAACUUAGUAAAAUCAGUAAAAAUAUUCUUAGGCUAAAGUUAAGUAGUUUAAGUUGUGUGCAAGUGGUAGGAGAGCGUUCUAUUUGCGUCGAAGGUAUACCGGUAAGGAGUGCUGGAGCGAAUAGAAGUGAGCAUGCAGGCAUGAGUAGCGAUAAUUAAUGUGAGAAUCAUUAACGCCGUAAACCCAAGGUUUCCUACGCGAUGCUCGUCAUCGUAGGGUUAGUCGGGUCCUAAGUCGAGUCCGAAAGGGGUAGACGAUGGCAAAUUGGUUAAUAUUCCAAUACCAACAUUAGUGUGCGAUGGAAGGACGCUUAGGGCUAAGGGGGCUAGCGGAUGGAAGUGCUAGUCUAAGGUUGUAGGAGGUUAUACAGGCAAAUCCGUAUAACAAUACUCCGAGAACUGAAAGGCUUUUUGAAGUCUUCGGAUGGAUAGAAGAACCCCUGAUGCCGUCGAGCCAAGAAAAGUUUCUAAGUUUAGCUAAUGUUGCCCGUACCGUAAACCGACACAGGUGGGUGGGAUGAGUAUUCUAAGGCGCGUGGAAGAACUCUCUUUAAGGAACUCUGCAAAAUAGCACCGUAUCUUCGGUAUAAGGUGUGGUUAGCUUCGUACUAGGAUUUACUCCGAAAGCGAAGAAACUUACAACAAAGAGUCCCUCCCGACUGUUUACCAAAAACACAGCACUCUGCUAACUCGUAAGAGGAUGUAUAGGGUGUGACGCCUGCCCGGUGCUCGAAGGUUAAUUGAUGGGGUUAGCAUUAGCGAAGCUCUUGAUCGAAGCCCGAGUAAACGGCGGCCGUAACUAUAACGGUCCUAAGGUAGCGAAAUUCCUUGUCGGUUAAAUACCGACCUGCAUGAAUGGCGUAACGAGAUGGGAGCUGUCUCAAAGAGGGAUCCAGUGAAAUUGUAGUGGAGGUGAAAAUUCCUCCUACCCGCGGCAAGACGGAAAGACCCCGUGGACCUUUACUACAGCUUGACACUGCUAUUUGGAUAAGAAUGUGCAGGAUAGGUGGGAGGCUUUGAGUAUAUGACGCCAGUUGUAUAUGAGCCAUUGUUGAGAUACCACUCUUUCUUAUUUGGGUAGCUAACCAGCUUGAGUUAUCCUCAAGUGGGACAAUGUCUGGUGGGUAGUUUGACUGGGGCGGUCGCCUCCCAAAUAAUAACGGAGGCUUACAAAGGUUGGCUCAUAGCGGUUGGAAAUCGCUAGUAGAGUAUAAAGGUAUAAGCCAGCUUAACUGCAAGACAUACAAGUCAAGCAGAGACGAAAGUCGGUCUUAGUGAUCCGGUGGUUCUGUGUGGAAGGGCCAUCGCUCAAAGGAUAAAAGGUACCCCGGGGAUAACAGGCUGAUCUCCCCCAAGAGCUCACAUCGACGGGGAGGUUUGGCACCUCGAUGUCGGCUCAUCGCAUCCUGGGGCUGGAGCAGGUCCCAAGGGUAUGGCUGUUCGCCAUUUAAAGCGGUACGCGAGCUGGGUUCAGAACGUCGUGAGACAGUUCGGUCCCUAUCUGCCGUGGGCGUAAGAAGAUUGAAGAGAUUUGACCCUAGUACGAGAGGACCGGGUUGAACAAACCACUGGUGUAGCUGUUGUUCUGCCAAGAGCAUCGCAGCGUAGCUAAGUUUGGAAAGGAUAAACGCUGAAAGCAUCUAAGCGUGAAGCCAACUCUAAGAUGAAUCUUCUCUAAGCUCUCUAGAAGACUACUAGUUUGAUAGGCUGGGUGUGUAAUGGAUGAAAGUCCUUUAGCUGACCAGUACUAAUAGAGCGUUUGGCUUAUCUUUAAUAAAGCAU
rnacentral:rRNA from 1 species